CUGGGAUUGUGUGUGUAUAGCAUCAUACCAGGGUUAGACUGCCCCUGUAUUUGAGAGCGGCAUUGCAGGCUGCCCUUCCAGGGCCAGAGGAAACCCAACCAAGGAGGGAAACGGUGGCAAGUGGCCACCGUGAGGCAGAGCAGCAAGCCCUUCUGGUGUUUGGCAGUGAGGAGACAGCGCUAUGGGCCCAGCUGGGGGAACAGACAUCCCCUGGGAAGUGGAAACUGCGUGAGAUGGCGCCCAUGGAUCUGCGUUUUAAUGUAGAGGAGUGCGUAGCAGGGCCAGGGAACGCUCAGGCCUCCGAGGCAGAAGCAGCAAGGAGGGUUGAGAGUAAGAACGCUUGAGGAGCCAGGCUGUGUGAAGAAAUCUGGACUAGAUCCCAAGAGCCGUGGGAGCCACUGAAGCUGUGGAUGAGCAUGGAAGGCAAGCAAGCUUCCCUGCAGACUGAAGACAUUCCGCUGGAAGGACACUGAGCUGAUGUGCCUUGCAAUCUGAUUGGUUCAAAACAUCAAAAGAACAAGCAAUCCUCCAGCGUUACAUAAUCGAAUCUUCAUGGCUCGCUGGUUUGUUCUGUCCUCCUGAGGAAUCGGCAGAUGGUGCCAGUGCAGAGACCCGCACACACGCCUCGCCCGCCUCUUGAGAGUGGCUCAGUGUCUGCCUCUCUGCCGUGGGGUCCCUCGCCGGGCGAUUGUUUCUUUGGAUCAGCUUGCACUUUCUCGUUCCUUAGGCACUGCUGGCUUCUUGCCUUCGGCAACCAUUUCAGGAUUAAUUAAAAAUGCUGAAAGCCCAUAAAAAUCUAGAGAAUGGAUAGUGACGUUGAAAGGGCAGGGAAUAAUAUGCUGGAUUCCUACCCACCCCCCACCCCCCAACCAAAGCCCUCCUCUAUUUUAGCCAGAGACUUCUUCAUUCGGCCUGGUCCCUGCGUAGUCUGGGUUGUUAAAUUAAAAGGAGGGUAGGAAAGGGGCCACCUGAGCUCAGAGGGCAGAGAGACAUGCCCAGGGACAUCACAUAAGCGCCUUCCGAAGCAGGUCACGUUCUUGUAGAAAUGCUUGUUCCCAAAUAGGGCGGUUACUUGGGAUCCAACCUUACACCAGUGAUGUCACCUUUGCUUAGGAAAGAUUAUCUCAGGACUCUGUAAGGUAAGAGGCUCCCAGCUAGGCCCUAAGACGACCCUGGUGUUUAGCAGUUCUUGAGAAGGCACUGCGGUCCAUGCCAGCUCUGAGAAGCAAGGGCGCCCGCUUUGCGCAAGUUUGAAUACGGAAUGCUUCCCGGCCCAGAGGUAGACACACCUUUGAGUGACACUUCAGUCCUUUGAGGGGCUCCGGUUCUAUGAAUUUGUAAGCCGAUCUGCUUUUCGGUGCAGCUCUGUGGGCUUCUUUGUCACCGACCCCACUUGGUUUCCAACCAUGCAGAACCAGUGGGUCGGGCGGCUUGGUGCAGAGCCAGGCGCCGCUCCAAACGCCACAGAUGUAACCGCCCGUUCGCAGACCGCACUGUUGGCUGACUCUGAUUUUGGAUGGAACCUCCAGGCAAUUAAAACAUAGAACCCUCCUGCCUGUGACAAAAACAUGGCCCGUCCUUGAAGGUCUUCUGUGUUCUACACUUGCAGGUCACUCAGGGUCCUGGUGUGUAUACAGAGGAAAUGACCGGGGAAGGAAAACAGAUACGGAGGAUGGUCUUUUGGAUUUGAUCCUGUACUGAAUCCAAGCACAGGAGUCUAUUUUUCUUUUCUUUUCCUUUAGAGACAGGCUUUCAGGUAUCCCAGGCUGGCCUGGAACUUGUUGUAUAGUCCAGGAUGGCCCUGAACCCCGGAUCAUGCUGCCUCUAACGGAUCACGCAUAUGCCACCACACCCAGAUUUAUCUAUUCUGGGGCUGAAGCCAAGGGCUUGCAUGCCAGGCAAUCACUCUACCUACUGAGCUACCUCUCAACCCCUAGGUCUAAUUACAAUUUCCUGUAAUUUUUUUCUUCUCUUUUGAGACGGGGGUCUCUCUUGUAGCUCAGGCUGGCUUUGAACUUGUAACACAGCCAAGGAUGACCUUGGACUUGUGAUCCUCCUGUCUCCACCUCUCAGAUGCUGGCAUCACAGCGUGCGUGCGCUACCGUUCCCACAUCGACUUUGAUUCUUUUCAUUUGUUACUCUCAAACUAAGCGAGAGCCGAUGAGAUAGCUGAGAGGGUGAGUAAACUAACUAACUGAGAGGGUGAGUAAACAACUCGUCGGCCGCCAAGCUAAACAACCCGAGUCUGAUUCCCAAGACUGACCCUCGGAAGCUGACCUCUGACCUUUACACACAUUGCCAUGGCUCCUGCUCAUGUACACACAUAUGCACUAG